rnacentral:lncRNA from 1 species
CCGUAUUUGUUUUGUAGUUGUUCUGCAUAUUGCUAUUUGGACACUAGACUGUAUUUAAAUAUUAAUAAUACUAGGGUCUUUGCCCGGGCUACGCCCGGGUAAAUUUCUUCUUAUAAUUUUUAAUUAAUUUUAGUUUGUUUAUUUUUUUUAAAAGCAUGUAUAUAUAUUAUUUAAAAUUGACUAACAAAAAUAUAAGUAA